CAUCCCUGCUUUAACGACUUUAAAGCACUGAUACUGAGGCAAAGUUACCUGAAAAAAAUCACAUGGGCCCAUUGAUGUGUGGCAUGUUUUGGUCACGGAGUACAAAAAAUGCCCAGCUACAACUGUAAUUGUAAUCUGUAACCAAUCAGUGUUUCCGCCUGUGCAUGCUGACUGGACGAGGGGAGGCCAAGACAGGGACUGUAGUUGGCUGCUCGGUGCCCAGUCAUAUUUUCCUGCAGAGGUGAAUAAAUGAUAACUCUUCUAAAUUGACAAACUUUACAUCAAUUUACAUGAACUGUAGUCAGUUGUUAUCUGAGUGCCAGUGCAGAGAACAGUCAAAUGACUAUGCCAUACUAUGAUGCAUGACCCAUUAUACAUUCUAUGAUUAUAGGCACUUCAGUUUGGUUUAACAUGCUGUAGCAUUUGUCAUGGUGAGCCUUAUGUUAAAAAGCUAUACUAACAUAAGAUUAGGCUGUAUCAUUUCAGCCUCAUAAUAUGAAACAGUGUAGGCCUGUUAUUACUUUUAACAGCCCAUUACACUGAUUACAGAUGAUAAUUCUCACCGUGUUACACUGGUCCAAAUGUAGCGACUGUAGAAGACGUUCACGGGAAACAGCAUUUGCCCUCUUAUAUUUCAAGCCAAACAUCUUGUUCAAGUCAUGGAACCCAUCGAGUAAGCUACAAGACAAACACAGAUAUGUAAAGUAAAUGAAUGGCAGAUGUAAGCACCACAGUUAUGAAUAACACCACAGCCUAUUAAAUAAUUGUGAAUCUAUCACUAAACCAA